GUUAAGCUCGCCGCCUGGGAAGUACGGUCGCAAGACUGAAACUUAAAGGAAUUGGCGGGGGAGCACUACAAGGGGGGCGGCGUGCGGUUUAAUCUAAUUCUACGCAGAGAACCUCACCAGGGGCGACGGCAGGAUGAAGGUCAGUCUGAAGGGCUUACCUGACGAGCCGAGAGGUGCUGCAUGGCCGCCGUCAGCUCGUGCCGUAAGGUGUCAGGUUAAGUCCUGGAACGAGCGAGACCCGCGCCCUUAGUUGCCAGCGGCUUUCCUGGGAUUUUCCCAGGAAAGGACCGGGCACUCUAAGGGGACUGCCGCCGUAAGGCGGAGGAAGGUGCGGGCGACGGCUGGUCUGUAUGCCCCGAAUCUCCUGGGCUACACGCGGCCUACAUUAGUAGGGACAACGGGAGGCGACUCUGAAAAGGGAAGCUAAUCCCUUAAACCCUAUCUCGGUUCGGAUCGAGGGUUGAAACUCACCCUCGUGAAGGUGGAAUUCCUAGUAAUCGCGGGUCACUAUCCCGCGGUGAAUGCGUCCCCGCCCCUUGCACACACUGCCUGUCACGCCAUCCGAGCGAGGUCUUAGUGAGGCUCAUUCCAAAAGGGGUGAGUCGAACUAGGGCUUCGUGAGGCGGGCGAAGUCACAACAAGGUAGCCGUAGGGGAACCUGCGGCUA
rnacentral:rRNA from 1 species